AGGGUGGUGAGGCACUGGAACAGGUUGCCCAGAGAGAUGGUGGAGUCACUGUCUCUGGAGAUGUUUAAGGAAAAGUUGGAUGUGGUGCUUAGGGACAUGGUUUAGUGGGUGACAUUAGUAGUAGAGUGAUGGUUGGACCAGAUGAUCUUGGAGGUCUUUUCCAACCUUAAUGAUU